CAGAGUCCAAUCUUUAUGCUCCCUAACAAAUUGAAGCCCUUUUCUCCGGUUAGUCUCGAUGAUUGAUUAGUGGUUUUCUUAUGGCGUCACAUCUGUUCCGUCCCAAUCCCUUUCAUUUUAUUCGCGUUGUGCUUGUGGAAAUGCUUUUACUGUCACUAUUAAACAUAAGAUGAGAUCACCAUCAUUCAGGAUUUUUUCCCGACUACAUUUCUUGCUCACUAUUCUCACUAUCCUUCCAGUUUUUUAAUGUGUUGGACAGUUCUUAACCCAAUUUUAGUAGUUUCUCCAAUCUCCUUAGAUGUUUUCUCAGCUUGAUGCAAGUCAGUGCUUUAACCCUUAUUUAAACAGACUAACACCUUUUCCACAACCAUGGGAUGUCUGUUGACAUGGUUGUUUAAGAAAUGAGAAGCGAAUCAUUGCAUUGGUUGGGGUUUAAUAACUUGUUACUUGCUGAAAGAUAAUCCCCUAUGCAGUAAUUAUCCAAUAGGAGGCUCGUAGCUUUUUGCUUAACUAAAUCCAGAUGACAACUUUACUCAUUUACUUGAAUGUUCAGUAAGAGUGUCUCACAUGUCAACAUAACUCUUACCCUCUUUUAGCAUCCUUUUAGAUGGACAAACAGAAAACAAUCAUGUGAUCAUCUCAUCAUCAUCAGCAAACAUCUGAUUAAAAAAAAAAAAAUGAAAUUGAAAAGUAUGCUUGGUAUUGACCGUUGGGGAAAGAUGAGACCAUCUGAUGUAAACUCAU